rnacentral:tRNA from 1 species
GGAUUCUGGCCAAAUGGAUAAGGCACUGGUCUACAAAACCAGACAUUCUGAGUUUGAUCCUCAUUAGAAUCAU